GCCGCACAUAACAUGAUUUCAAAUAACUUCGAGCUGCUGCCAUCUAAGUUUUCUUAAUUUCUAAUAUAAUCGUCUACCAAACAUAUAGUGAUAUUUUUUUAAUCUCUCCCCCAUUUCUUUUAUAUCUCCGCCCCCCCCUGGUCAACUUGGCAGUACUGUACUAUUCUACAUGUGAACAAUAACCCGAAUAGUAUCAUCUACAGUGACUACUACACAUGCACACAAAGUGAUUUCAAAAAAACUUCGAGAUGCUUUUAACUAAGUCUUAUCAAUUUUUAAGACAAUCGUCCACAAAAUAUAUUGAGACUUUUUAAAUCAAUCCCCUCCCCCCUUAUUUCAAUGUUGAAACCUACUGUACUUAUCCAAAACUAACAUAAGGUGACACUAGCACCGCAACUGUGUCACUGGCAGUUGAAAUUUAACAUAUGAUGUUGGAAUUAAACUAUAUUGUAAUGCCUAACAACAUUGAAA